rnacentral:rRNA from 1 species
CCGACGGUGAGAGGCGAAAGCUGGGGGAGCAAACCGGAUUAGAUACCCGGGUAGUCCCAGCUGUAAACGAUGCGCGUUAGGUGUGUCAGUGACCACGUGUCACUGAUGUGCCGAAGGGAAACCGUGAAACGCGCCGCCUGGGGAGUACGGUCGCAAGGCUGAAACUUAAAGGAAUUGGCGGGGGAGCACCAUAACGGGUGGAGCCUGCGGUUUAAUCGGACUCAACGCCGGAAAUCUCACCGGAUAA